UACGUAGGGUGCGAGCGUUAAUCGGAAUUACUGGGCGUAAAGCGUGCGCAGGCGGUUCGCCAAGUCAGGUGUGAAAAUCCCCCGGGCUUAACCUGGGAAUUGCGCUUGAAACUAGCGGGCUUGAGUGUGGCAGAGGGGGGGUGGAAUUCCACGUGUAGCAGUGAAAUGCGUAGAGAUGUGGAGGAACACCGAUGGCGAAGGCAGCCCCCUGGGUCAACACUGACGCCUCAUGCACGAAAGCGUGGGGAGCAAACAGGA
rnacentral:rRNA from 1 species